CGCACGCGCGCUACACUGAUG
rnacentral:siRNA from 1 species